rnacentral:misc_RNA from 1 species
CGCACCUUGCGCUCCUUGGUAUUCCGAGGAGCAUGCCUGUUUGAGUGUCAUGAAAGUUUAUCGGAGCCCCCCUUUUUCCUCUGCGAAGGAGGGGGUGACCGGAAUUGGACGCGUUGCCUGGUGGGGGGUCGGUCUUCCCUCUCUCCCUCCUGGCUCGUCCGAAAUGCAUCGGCUGGAUCGGGGCGUGCGUGCCUUUGGUUCCCACUCGGCGUGAUAAUCCACCCGUCGAGGACGUCCCUGCGGACGGCCAAAGGCGCCCACCGGCGAAAAACACCCCUCUUUGACGAUCUGACCUCAAAUCAGGUAGGACUACCCGCUGAACUUAA